GCCCGGAUAGCUCAGUCGGUAGAGCAGGGGAUUGAAAAUCCCCGUGUCCUUGGUUCGAUUCCGAGUCCGGGCACCG
rnacentral:tRNA from 1 species